rnacentral:rRNA from 1 species
UACGUAGGGGGCUAGCGUUGUCCGGAAUCAUUGGGCGUAAAGCGCGUGUAGGCGGUUCGGUAAGUCUGCUGUGAAAGUCGGGGGCUCAACCCUCGAAUGCCGGUGGAUACUGUCGGACUAGAGUGCGGAAGAGGCGAGUGGAAUUCCUGGUGUAGCGGUGAAAUGCGCAGAUAUCAGGAGGAACACCUAUUGCGAAGGCAGCUCGCUGGGACGUAACUGACGCUGAGACGCGAAAAGCGUGGGGAGCAAACAGG